GCCAUGCGGGGCGGGGCCCGAGGCCGGGCCGUGCUGAAAGGAACUGGCGCCCAGCGCAGGCCUCAGGGACCCGCCUAGCUGCCCGCGGGCCGAUCGGCUGCUGAAGCACCCUUCCCGCCUGGCCACGCGCGUGGCCUUAUCGGCCGCGGCCCCAGACGUGUAGAGGAAGGCAGGGCCCCCGGAGAGAGAAAGAAGGGGAAGCCUUCACAGAGCAGGCCGGCCGCGGCAGGGGUAGUUUGAUCUGCACGUUUACCAGGGAGCUUUAGCUCCCGCCAGAUGUGUCUCUUCCGGGCCCAGAGCCGGCCACUUCCUCGAGGGAAGAUUCUGAAGACUUUUGGAUGGUUCUGUGCAAGCGCUCCUGCCGUAGAAGUCCUUUAAAGUGACCUUUCCUAAUGAAUGGUGUGUGGGCAGGGAGCUAGGAGCGUGUUUCUUCCAACAGGGACCUCCAUUUGAAUAACUGAUUUCUAGAAGAUGAGAUUGGAGUAGUUUCCGUGUUUCAUGUUCAAGUUGCAGUUUUUGCAUCUGGGAAGCAGUUUCAGCUAGUGGAAACCACUAGAAGCUGUUCAGCCACUAGAAAUUUGGGAGAGGAUGUAUUGGUGGAGCCACGUGGAUUAACUGUCCGCUAAAGCUUGAUUGUUAUAGCAGCGGUCAGCAAAAAAGGAAAGUUUUGGUUUUGCUGGUUCUCCCCCUCCCCGUCUUUUUGGGUGAGCUUGUCGGCCACAGACUGCUACAUUGUGCAUGAGAUCUACAAUGGGGAGAAUGCCCAAGACCAGUUUGAGUACGAGCUGGAGCAGGCCCUGGAAGCCCAGUACAAGUACAUUGUGAUUGAGCCCACUCGCAUUGGCGACGAGACAGCCCGCUGGAUCACCGUGGGCAACUGCCUGCACAAGACGGCCGUGCUGGCGGGCACCGCCUGCCUCUUCACCCCGUUGGCGCUGCCCUUAGAUUAUUCCCACUACAUUUCCC
rnacentral:sRNA from 1 species